rnacentral:ncRNA from 1 species
CCCUCGGACUGUUAUAUCAAAUGAGAGUAGCUUAUAAGUUUAUUUAUAGCGAAAUUAGACAGGUUGAACAGGGAA